AUACGGAGGAUCCGAGCGUUAUCCGGAUUUAUUGGGUUUAAAGGGUGCGCAGGCGGGAGAUUAAGUCGGCGGUGAAAUUUUGCAGCUCAACUGUAAAAGUGCCUUCGAAACUGGUUUCCUUGAGUGUAGAUGAAGUAGGCGGAAUUUGUGGGGUAGCGGUGAAAUGCAUAGAUAUCACGAGGAACUCCGAUUGCGCAGGCAGCUUACUAAACUACUACUGACGCUCAGGCACGAAGGCGUGGGGAUCAAACAGGAUUAGAUACCCUGGUAGUCCACGCAGUAAACGAUGAUUACUAGCUGUUUGCGAUACAAUGUAAGCGGCUGAGCGAAAGCGUUAAGUAAUCCACCUGGGGAGUACGUUCGCAAGAAUGAAACUCAAAUGAAUUGGCGGGG
rnacentral:rRNA from 1 species